GCAUGCUCUCCCGGACUCUGUCGAGGGACGAAGGUGAAGAGACAGGUGAGAAGGACAUCCUUACCGGCUUUUGGAACGAACAAGAGAGACGACGAGGGAGCGACUGUGGGAUGGUGGCGUAGGAGAGGAGAAGGUGCGAUGGCAGAAAGAAACGACGAGGUCCAAGACUCAGCAGCAAAAAUCAUAAAACGGGCAGAGUACGCCAUUCAUGUAAGAAAAAUCCCGCCGAAAGAGACGUCCCUUCGUCUCCCCCUAGCGGCCGACAGCUCAUCCGCACACCCACUCGCAUCAGGGAAGACCAACGAACACCCCAUCAUAAAUGCGGACCCAAAGCCGCUGCAGGAAACGACGUGGAGAACGGCCACUGCGACUUCUCAACGCCUAAAAAGAACGACGAUCUUGCCGCAUGUUUCCCGAGACCACCUCCUCGGCGCGGCCAGCCCGCCCGAGACGUGCUCCUCGGCCGCAUGUUUCCCGAGACCACGUCCUCGGCGCGGCCAGCCCGCCCGAGACGUGCUCCUCGGCCGCAUGUUUCCCGAGACCACCUCCUCGGCGCGGCCAGCCCGUCCGAGACGUGCUCCUCGGCCGCAUGUUCCCCGAGACCACCUCCUCGGCGCGGCCAGCCCGCCCGAGACGUGCUCCUCGGCCGCAUGUUUCCCGAGACCACCUCCUCGGCGCGGCCAGCCCGUCCGAGACGUGCUCCUCGGCCGCAUGUUUCCCGAGACCACCUCCUCGGCGCGGCCAGCCCGCCCGAGACGUGCUCCUCGGCCGCAUGCUUCCCGAGACCACCUCCUCGGCACGGCCAGCCCGCCCGAGACGUGCUCCUCGGCCGCAUGUUUCCCGAGACCACCUCCUCGGCGCGGCCAGCCCGCCCGAGACGUGC
rnacentral:lncRNA from 1 species